CAGUCGCCGCGGGAAUACGAAGGGGGCUUGCGUUGUUCUGAAUCACUGGGCGUAAAGGGUGCGUAGGCGGAUUCUUAAGUCAGGGGUGAAAUCCCGAGGCUCAACCUCGGAACUGCCUUUGAUACUGGGGAUCUUGAGUCCGGAAGAGGUGAGUGGAACUGCGAGUGUAGAGGUGAAAUUCGUAGAUAUUCGCAAGAACACCGGUGGCGAAGGCGGCUCACUGGUCCGGAACUGACGCUGAGGCACGACAGCGUGGGGAGCAAACAGGAUUAGAUACCCCUGUAGUCCCUGUCUCUUAUAC
rnacentral:rRNA from 1 species